AUAGACCAUUCCAAGCUUUUACUUGUUGUUAAACAAAUGUUUAAACAACUCUAUUUAUUCAAUUAUGUACCAGCUGCCCAGUGUUGGCUAACAAUACGAAGAAUGAAAUUGUGGCAAAAUGCUACAAGUUCCUGAAACACCUAUAGAAUGAUAGGUUUCUUUUUUGUGAGUGUAAAACACUUCAAUACACCAUUUCGGUUUAUUUUGUUUAUUUCAGGAUUUACGUUUCAACUAUGACCACAACUGUUCAGAUAAUCGUCCUUGCAUUGCUCCUGGUUCACAGUUCUGAAGCAGGAUUGGGUUAUAAUUUGUUAAAGAAUGUAGCGAAGAAGGGAACAAUACUUCCAAUACCGAUCCCUAUACCCAUCGUAUCUGGUUACACUCACACGGAAUAUGUUCCUGUAUAUUAUGGAGGACAUGGAGGAGGAUAUGGAGGAUGGCACUAACUGAAAUACACAUCAUUUUCUGUAUUUUUUAUCACAUUUGGACUUUCUUGUGAACAUUAUAUAACUGAUUUUUGAGUCAGAAAUAAAAAUGACUUAUUCACAGUAAUAAAAAAAAUAUUUACUUCCAC